rnacentral:rRNA from 1 species
GACGAACGCUGGCGGCGUGCUUAACACAUGCAAGUCGAACGGAAAGGCCCUGCUUUUGUGGGGUGCUCGAGUGGCGAACGGGUGAGUAACACGUGAGUAGCCUGCCCUUGACUUUGGGAUAACUUCAGGAAACUGGGGCUAAUACCGGAUAGGAGCUCCUGCUGCAUGGUGGGGGUUGGAACGUUUAGGCGGUUAGGGCUGAACUCGCGGCUUAUCAGCUUGUUGGUGGGGUAGUGGCUUACCAAGGCUUUGACGGGUAGCCGGCCUGAGAGGGUGACCGGCCACAUUGGGACUGAGAUACGGCCCAGACUCCAACGGGAGGCAGCAGUGGGGAAUAUUGCACAAUGGGCGGAAGCCUGAUGCAGCAACGCCGCGUGCGGGAUGACGGCCUUCGGGUUGUAAACCGCUUUCGCCUGUGACGAAGCGUGAGUGACGGUAAUGGGUAAAGAAGCACCGGCUAACUACGUG